AAAGGAAUAGACGGGGACCCGCACAAGCAGCGGAGCAUGUGGUUUAAUUCGACGCAACGCGAAGAACCUUACCAGGGCUUGACAUCCCUCUGACCGGAUUAGAGAUAGUCCUUUCUCUUCGGAGACAGAGGAGACAGGUGGUGCAUGGUUGUCGUCAGCUCGUGUCGUGAGAUGUUGGGUUAAGUCCCGCAACGAGCGCAACCCUUGCCUUUAGUUGCCAUCAGGUAAAGCUGGGCACUCUAGAGGGACUGCCGGUGACAAACCGGAGGAAGGUGGGGAUGACGUCAAAUCAUCAUGCCCCUUAUGUCCUGGGCUACACACGUGCUACAAUGGUCGGUACAACGGGAAGCGAGACUGCGAAGUUUAGCCAAUCCCAAUAAGCCGAUCCCAGUUCGGAUUGUAGGCUGCAACUCGCCUACAUGAAGUCGGAGUUGCUAGUAAUCGCGAAUCAGCACGUCGCGGUGAAUGCGUUCCCGGGUCUUGUACACACCGCCCGU
rnacentral:rRNA from 1 species